GCCAGUGUGGCAUAGUGGUUUGAAUGUUGGACCGUGACUCUGGAGAUCAGGGUUCAAUUUCCUGCUCUUCCC